rnacentral:rRNA from 1 species
GACGUAGGGCGCGAGCGUUGUCCGGAUUUAUUGGGCGCAAAGAGCUCGUAGGCGGCUUGUCGCGUCGACUGUGAAAUCCCGCGGCUCAACCGCGGGUCUGCAGUCGAUACGGGCAGGCUAGAGUUCGGUAGGGGAGACUGGAAUUCCUGGUGUAGCGGUGAAAUGCGCAGAUAUCAGGAGGAACACCGAUGGCGAAGGCAGGUCUCUGGGCCGAUACUGACGCUGAGGAGCGAAAGCGUGGGGAGCGAACAGG